GUCUACGGCCAUACCACCCUGAACACAUCUGAUCUCAUCUGAUCUUGAAAGUUAAGCAGGGUUGGGCCUGGUUAGUACUUGAAUGGGAGAAUGUCUUAUACCAAAAAUG
rnacentral:rRNA from 1 species